CGCCAGACUCCUACGGGAGGCAGCAGUGGGGAAUAUUGCACAAUGGGGGAAACCCUGAUGCAGCGACGCCGCGUGAGCGAUGAAGUAUUUCGGUAUGUAAAGCUCUCUCAGCAGGGAAGAAGAUGACGGUACCUGACUAAGAAGCCCCGGCUAACUACGUGCCAGCAGCCGCGGUAAUACGUAGGGGGCAAGCGUUAUCCGGAUUUACUGGGUGUAAAGGGAGCGUAGACGGCGAUGCAAGCCAGAUGUGAAAGCCCGGGGCUCAACCCCGGGACUGCAUUUGGAACUGUGUGGCUGGAGUGUCGGAGAGGCAGGCGGAAUUCCUAGUGUAGCGGUGAAAUGCGUAGAUAUUAGGAGGAACACCAGUGGAGAAGGCGGCCUGCUGGACGACAACUGACGGUGAGGCGCGAAAGCGUGGGGAGCAAACAGGAUUAGAUACCCCAGUAA
rnacentral:rRNA from 1 species